AUCGUACAUUGUAUAUUGUAUAUCGUAUAUUGUACAUUGUAUAUCGUAUAUUGUAUAUUGUACAUCGUACAUUGUAUAUUGUAUAUCGUACAUUGUAUAUUGUAUAUUGUACAUUGUAUAUUGUAUAUCAUACAUUGUAUAUCGUAUAUUGUACAUCGUAUAUUGUAUAUCGUAUAUUGUACAUCGUAUAUUGUAUAUCGUAUAUUGUAUAUUGUACAUCGUACAUUGUAUAUUGUAUAUCGUAUAUUGUAUAUUGUACAUUGUAUAUUGUACAUCGUACAUUGUAUAUUGUAUAUCGUAUAUCGUAUAUUGUAUAUCGUAUAUCAUGUAUCAUACAUUGUAUAUUGUAUAUUGUAUAUUGUAUAUUGUACAUUGUAUAUUGUAUAUCAUACAUUGUAUAUUGUGUAUUGUAUUUUGUAUAUUGUAUAUCAUAUAUUGAAUAUUGUAUAUUGUAUAUCGUAUAUCGUAUAUUGUACAUCGUACAUUGUAUAUCGUAUAUUGUAUAUUGUACAUCGUACGUUGUAUAUUGUAUAUCAUAUAUUGUAUAUUUUAUAUCGUAUAUUGUAUAUCGUAUAUUGUAUAUUGUACAUUGUAUAUUGUACGUUGUAUAUUGUAUAUUGUACAUCGUACAUCGUACAUUGUAUAUCGUACAUUGUAUAUUGUAUAUGGUAUAUUGUAUAUCGUAUAUUGUAUAUCAUAUAUGGUAUAUCGUAUAUUGUAUAUGGUAUAUUGUAUAUUGUAUAUCACAUAUAAUACACAGCAUCCAUUAUAUACUGUAUAUUAUACAUUAUAUCAAAUAUAACAAAUCAUUUCUGCCACAUCCAAACCCGGAUUUUCCCCUCAAUUUGGGGUUUCUGGUUCAUUUUUGGGCUCUCGUUGGAGUUUUGUGUUUGAACCUCGGUGUGGGGCUGCUCCAGGAUGGUUUUGGGUUUGUUUUGUUCCUCGUUUCCCUUUUUGUUGUGUCCGGUUCUGUCCAGUUCAGUGUCCAGUUCAGUCCAGUUCAGUCCAGUUCAGUCCAGUUCAGUCCAGUUCAAUGCCCAGUGCAGUGUCCAGUUCUGUCCAGUUCAGUGUCCAGUGCAGUGUCCAGUUCAGUCCAGUUCUGUCCAAUUCAAUGCCCAGUUCAGUGUCCGGUUCUGUCCAGUUCAGUCCAGUUCAGUCCAGUUCUGUCCAGUUCAGUCCAGUUCUGUCCAGUUGAGUGUCCAGUUCUGGGUUCCUCUGGACAGGAAAGACCUGGAGCUGCAGGAUCUCCUGGAUCUCCUGGAUCUCCUGCAGGGCAGCAGGGCUGGUGGCAGCGCUGGAUCAUUCGUGUCACACAGAGGUGACAAAUUCCCGAGAGAACGGAACUCUCCCGGUACCCCGAGGGCGCUGCCGGGGCCGGAGNGGCCGGGCUGAGCUCCCUGCAGAGCCGCAGGAUCCCCACUCCGGAUUUGGGAUCAGCUGGGAUCCAGUGGAUCUCUGCCAUUCCCUCAGCUCAAGGGUCGCUGCCACGGGGAAUUGAUCCGGCACAAUCAGAAAUAUUCAUUGCAAUGGGGCUCCCGCCUAAUCCACAACAGCUUUUCCAGGAAAUCAUUCCGUGGCUGCACCACUCCCUGUCCUCCUAUUCAGGGCAGCUUCAAAAAAGGGAACUGGGGCUGGAUCCUGUCCAGGACAGCUACCAAAAAGGGAUCUGGAGAUGGAUCCUGUCCAGGACAGCUCCCAAAAAGGGAUCUGGAGGUGAAUUCUGUCCAGGAGAGCUCCCAUAAAGGGAUCUGGGGGUGGAUCCUGUCCAGGAGAGCUCCCAAAAAGGGAUUGGGGGUGGAUCCUGUCCAGGAGAGCUCCCAAAAAGGGAUUGGGGGUGAAUCCUGUCCAGGAGAGCUCCCAAAAAGGGAUCUGGAGAUGGAUCCUGUCCAGGACAGCUCCCAAAAAGGGAUCUGGGGGUGGAUCCCAGCGAGUUCUCCCGUGGGUGACCUUGCCUGGAAAUUCCCCUUUGGGCAGCAGCUGCUCCUCCUGCGUUCCACAGCUCCUCCCAAAGCCCCGCUGCGGUUGGAGAACUUGAUAUCAAGUUUAUAGAAAGUUUAUAGACACUUUAUAUCGUUUAUAUCAAAUUUCUAUCAAGUUUAUUUCAAGUUUAUAUCAAGUUUAUAUAGUUUAUAUCAAGUUCAUAUCAAGUUUAUAGAAAGUUUAUAUCAAGUUUAUAGAAAGUUUAUAUAACAUUUAUCUCAAGUUUAUAUCAAGUUUAUAUCAAGUUUAUAUCCAGUUUAUAUCCAGUUUAUAUCAGGUUCCCUUCCUUGUUCUCCAGGUUUCCGAGCCGCCUUCCUCAGCUUUUCCAUCUUUAUUUCCCAU
ensembl:lncRNA